rnacentral:lncRNA from 1 species
AUGAUUUAGGGAACCGUAACAUUCUCCAAGUAGCUGAAGAAUAUAAGCAUCAAGAUAAUCUUGGUAUGGUGAUAUAACUACAGUAGUAAAAGGUACUAAUAUAGUAAUUACUAGAAAUGAUGGGGAAAACAGGCAGAAUAGCUGGGUAAAUCCUUUCUUUUGGAAGAUGCGUGGAAUUUCUUCUUGAGAAAUUAGAAUACUUGUUCUUUACACCACUUCAGACUUCUUUAAGGCUUGCUUUUUUCAUUUGAAAUAGUCUUUUUAAGUAAUCACG